CGCACAUUGCGCCUUAUAGUAUUCUAUUAGGCAUGCCUGUUCGAGCGUCAUUUCAACCCUUAAGCCUAGCUUAGUGUUGAGAAUCUACUAUGAAGACUUACCCUGUAACGUCUUACUCUGUAGUUCUUGAAAAUCAACGGCGGAAUUAUUGUAUCCUCUGAACGUAGUAAAUUUUUAUCCUCGUUUCGGUCAGGUGCUGUAGUUUUAGCCGUUAAACCCCUAAUAUUUUUAAUGGUUGACCUCGGAUCAGGUAGGAAUACCCGCUGAACUUAA
rnacentral:misc_RNA from 1 species